CCAGAACUGGGGAAGAGAGGCGGAACUCCUGAGCCCUUGGGUACUAGUGUUCCUUACAUCGAACAAGAACUGGCCGCUGUUUCAGACCGGAAGGGUGCAGAGAUGAAAGACAGGACCCAGGGUCUCAGGAUGCCUGUUGCCUCCUAAGAGAGUUGGACAUUUCUAUUUUGAUUUGCAUUUCAAUUGAGGUUGAUAGGGAGUGACCUUCACGUCUGAAUGACCUGGUAGGUGACUUUUCUGGUCUCUUCUUGAACUUAUGCAAUUCUCACUAUAAAUAAUAACAUGACUUAUAAAUCACCCUCUUGUGAAUUCGCUUACUGUGGUGUAUCUCUUGCCCACAUGAUGACAUAUUGGAGCUAUGAUAUUAAAUAAUAAUCAAGUUGAUGGUGCAAGGUAAUGUGCAAAUGGUAGGGACAUCUCUCCCCUGAAAGAAGAGGUUAUUCUAGCUGUCCAUCGCCCUGGGUAAAGUCAGGUGUAUAUAAAGGAAACUGGCACUCUGAUCCUCUCUUUGGUCUUCAGUCUCUUAAGUUUGGACUUCUGGAACUGACACCCCUAUAUGGGACUAUGGCUGAAACAAGUCUCCAAAAGGGCAAAGGCCAUGUCUGCAUGGAUCCCAUGUAUUUAGCACCUAGUACAAAGCUGAAGCCAUAUAGGUUGUAGAUGAAUGUUUAUUCAAUGAGCAAGGUUCAUGUUAUUCUGUUUAUGUCUUUUUUUUUUUUUUGAGAUGGAGUUUUGCUCUUGUUGCCCAGGCUGGAGUGCAGUGGCGCAAUCUUGGCUCACUGCAAUCUCCACCUCCCGGGUUCAAGCGAUUCUUCUGCCUCAGCCUCCUGAGCAGCUGGGAUUACAGGCACGUGCCACCAUGCCUGGCUAUUUUUUUUUUUUUUUUUUUUUUUUAGUAGAGACGGGGUUUCACAAUGUUGGCCAGGCUGGUCUUGAACUCCUGACCUCAGGUGAUCCACCCCCACCUUGGCCUUCUAAAGUGUUGGAAUCACAGGCGUGAGCCACCGUGCCAGGCUUAUUCUGUUUAUUUCUUUAUGUUCUCUCCUGGCAUUCAUUAAACAACAUACUUAAACUUCAGCCUUGAUUCAUUCAUUCAUUCAACUACUGAGUACUUGCCAUAUGCCAAAUACUGUUCUGGGCACUAGGGACAUAGAUAAAGAGGUAAAGUCUCUGUUCUCAUGGGGCUUACAUUUCUAGUGGGAUAAACAGAAAACAAAUAUAAAAAUGUGUCAGGUGGUGGUAAAUGCUAAGAAAUGUGAAAGCUGAUCAUAAGAAUUGGGUCAUUUUUGUCAUACCUAAUAAAAGAAAGUCGAGAAAUUAGCUGGGGGAAGCACUCAGGGUACACAACAUUGCUCCAGGAAUGUUAUUCUCUGUAAGCUUGACUGCUGAAACUGCUUAUUAUAAGCCAAAACCAGUUUUAUCUAUAGCUUCUGAGAUAAGUUGCUGCAACUCUAGGACUAAUUUUGCCCACCGCAGUUGCUCACCAACUGGAGCUUGUCAGCUCCCCACACCCUUACUACUGCCAAUGAACUUUCUCAAAGAGCAAUAUGUAACAUUCCUCCUUUUUGUAAAACCUCUAACCUUCUCUUUGUUCUUCAGAGAGAGCACCACUUUCAGUUCAAGCCAGAGACUAUCUCUCCGAGUUUGUAAACUGAUGUUGUGAAUAAAACUUUCUUUUCUUUCUUUCUUUCUUUUUUUUUUUUUUUUUUUUGAGAUGGAGUCUCACUCUGUCGCCCAGGCUGGAGUGCAGUGGCGCGAUCUCGCUCACUGCAACCUCCGCCUCCCGGGUUCAAAUGAUUCUCCUGUCUCAGAUUCCUGAGUAGCUGGGAUUACAAGCGCACGCCACCAUGCCUGGCUAAUUUUUUGUAUUUUAGUAGAGAUGGGGUUUCACCGUGUUGCCCAGGCUGGUCUCAAACUCCUGAGCUCAGGCAAUCCACCCGCCUCGGCCUUCCAAAGUGCUAGGAUUACAGGUGUGAGCCACUGUGCCGGCCAACUUUCUUUUCUACUAUCUAGCCAUCCUGGUGGUCCUUUGGAUGACAUAAAAAAGGGUAAGGAGGACCCAACAAAGGAGACUGAGAAGCAGCAGCCAAUCAAGUAGGAAGAGAAGAAGGAAAUAGUACUUUAUGGGUCUCAAAGUAUGAAUGAGUAGAUUUUGAAAUAUUGAUCAAUGUGAUUGCUGUUCCCCCCACACUAAAUUAUAAUUUUACUUGUAAACCAAGGCUCCCUUCUCCUCCCCUGCCCUACCUAGGUAGACAGGAGUUACACACUAUGGGACUGGAAACAAAAGUGACAAAAACGAUAGUGAGUUAGGCCAUUAGAAGCCUUUAGUAAGGUGAAAAACAUUCUUGCCUUGCUGGGAAAGAAGAAAGGAAUGGGAGGAGCCAAAAUGACCAACUAGACUAUGGACCACUGACCAGUGAGCCUGUAAUCAUUCACACUCCUACUAAGCAAUGGCCCGGAAGCAUGUAACCAAAGAGUUGUCAGCUGGUAAGAACCACCAGUUGCCAGUGGCCAGCCCAGAGCCUCAGUUUUGUCACUCAGUUUGUGCCCUGAGAUUCUGCCCAUCUGACAAAGAACUUGAAGCACCCUCACCACUGUCCCAAGAUGAAAGACUUGGUAACCUUGUGGAAUGAUGGUGAUAGGAAAGGAACACCCUAUCUUUGACCAAGGUGGAACUAUACAAAACCUGUUUAAAGUGGGCCAGAGCUCUGGGACAGUGGUAUAAUACAACACAUAGCCUUUGUUUUACAUACACACACAUUCCUGGUAUUUAAAAUCCCCAAAUGUACUGGUGAAAAAAACUAAGCAAACAAGAAAUAAAUGAGUUUGAGAUAGGCAUAUGAGAAGAGGCUGGAAGCACAGGACUGACAUUUCAAGAUGGGUUAAGAUCUUAGACUACUGAUCAACUAAAAUGGAAAUCCCGGUCUGAAUGGAAAGUUUGUAUUUCUCAUCUUUCUAUAAAACCCCACUUUGCCAGAGUUGUUUUUAAUGCAAAUUGGAAUGUGAUUGACCUAUGACCAAGGAUUAUAUGUAUAUAAUAUAUAUGGCUAAGAAAUCUCAAGACAUGCAAUCUGAAGACCCAGGAGAGCUGAAGGUAUAGUUGUAGUCCAAGAUCUAUAGGCCUAAGAAGCAGAAAAGCUGCUGGUGUAACUUCCAGUCUGAGUCCUAGUCGGAAUCCAAAUGUGUUAGUCUGUUCUCGCACUGCUAUAAAGAAAUGCCUGAGAUUGGGAACUUUAUAAAGAAAAGAGGUUUAAUUGGCUCACAGUUCUGCAGGCUGUACAGGAAUCAUGGUACCAUCUGCCUCUGGGGAGGCCUCAGGGAACUCAUGGGGGAAGGCAAAGUGGGAGCAGAUGUCUUAUGUGGCAGCAGAAGGACCAAGGGUCGGGGGAGGAGGGAGGUGCUACACACUUUUAAACAACCAGGUCUCACUCACUAUCUCAACACAGAGCCAAGGGGUAAAGCCAUCCCUAUGAUCCAAUCACCUCCCAUCAGGCCCCACCUCCAACAUUGGGAAUUACAGUUUGACAUGAGAUUUGGGCGGGGACAGAAAUCUAAACCAUAUCACCAAAGGUGGGAGAAGACCAAUGUCCCAGCCAGAAGACAGGCAGAAAGAGCAAAUUCUCUCUCAGUCUUUUCCUUCUACUCACAUCUCCAAUGGCUUGGAUGAGGCUCACUCAUGUUAAGGAGGGCAAUCAGUCUACAGAUUCAGAUGUUAAUCUCAUCCAGAGAUACCCCCACAGACACUCAGAAUAAUGUUUAGCCAAAUGUCUGGGCACACUAUGGCCCAUUCAAGUUAACAUGUAAAAUGAACUAUCACAUAUGGAUUCUUCCAAAUACAGUUCAGGGCAUUAGUUAUUUAAAGAUUUUCUAGGCACUGAAGGGCAUCCACAGUGGUUAGAUUAGGCUAGUGUCACUUAAAAGGAUCCAUUUCAGAUCUGAAUGUCUGUCUUGGACAACUUCACCCCCUUAUCUUUACAUCCUCAGAGAGGGAUCUUGUAGAAAUGAGGGAGUAACAGCAAACGGAAAGUUGGAGAAGGGGACAGGCCACCUGUGAAAGGCCAAUCAUGCUGGGAGCAGAGAGGGGUAAAUCCAGUCCAGACUGGAAAGCUUGAGGGAAGACAGAACAGCCAUAUUCUUUGCAAUUUGGAGGGAGGUAGAAAUCCCAUUGCCUAUCCUUUUACCCUCAUCGGAGUCCUACCUGGAGAGGCUGUAAAAGGCACAUAGUCAUUGGUAGGAGUAGAGGGAUCACAAAAUCAGAGGACCUGAGCUUGGAGUGCCUAUGGCUUUGACAGGAGCUUUAGAAUCUGAAAGGCUAAAGGGGCUGUUAUGGCCCUAGCAGGAAAGGAAAGGAAGUGGGAUACUGGGGGAUCUGCUUUGGUCUUUCUGUAGCCUUUCUCAAGGGCUAGAUGAAAAUGAAAAUCUCAGGUUGUUCCGAAUUGGUUUCUAGGCCAGCCCUCUAUUACUAGGCUGAUGAUGCUACAACGAAUCAAAAGAUCAUUGACCCCUGAUAGAGGUCUUUACUAGUGCCAAAAUCUACCCAGCUGCACUUUCUGCAUCCCACCCCCAACACACACACACACACACACACACACACACACACACACACACACACACACACAUACAUGCACACACACACAGACUCAAUUUUCAACAGUAUAUAAUUGGCAAUCACAGAACAUUUCAGUUGAAUUAAGAUAGAGUUCAAACCAGAAGAGUGAGGCAAAGCUAGAAUAUUAGAAAAAAAAUAAAGCAUAUAAAAAUUACUUGCUAUGUGUCAGCCCCUUUCACAUGGUUAAUUUCAUUUACUCCUUACAUGAACCCUUUGAGACAGAUAAUAUUGUGACAGUUUUGAUGAUACUGAAACUAAGGGUGAGUAAGUUUAAGUAAUUUGUUAAAAUACCUUCCUAAUAACCAGUGAGGCUUUGAAAUCCAAGGCAAAUGCUGUUUCCACCACUAUAUUUAGGCUUUUGUACACCCAGAAGCAAGAAAAUCAUUCAGGAGACUGAGGCAAGACACAGGUAGGGAAAAGGGGGAGAAAAGUCAGGACAGCCAGCAUGAAGAGUGUCUUCAGCCUCCUGAAUACUUUAGCUGUGGUCGGGCCUUGGACAACUCAUGCUAAUUUGAAUGCAGAGAAGCAUUAAUAUGUUGUGUUCACUGGGAAUGCAUCUAAGGCUUUGAUAAUCGUUAGGGGUGGGAGGCAGGGAGGCCUGCUAUCUUGGCUUAUACCCACAUGGACUUUUAUAUAGAAGGUCAUAACUCUUGAAUACAUUCUGCUCUAGAGAGGCCCAAAAGUGGUAAUUCUAAAGUCAGUCUAGUAUCUCCUAGCCUUAGAGGUGUCUGGGUGUCUGGGGAGUAGAACAAAUGUAACUGAGGCCCUUCCCAGUCCAAGAUAUUCUGCAGAUACUUUACUUUUGGGUACUGGAAAACAAUGGAAGUAGUUACCACACAGGUAAAGGGAAUAUUUUAAAACACUAAAAUUCUUUGAUGCUAAAAGCAUAGUAAAAGAAGCAUCUGCUUAUUACCUAAAACAGAUGUUCUUUGUAUUCUCUACCACAGUCACCUCUGCCCACCUAUGAUUUUCAUGCAGCUGUGGGAGAAUGGAUGUAGCCAUCCUGACAGAGUCCUGUCUCAAGCAUACACCAUAACAUCUUAGGCUGUUUUGUUGAAGGCUUCCUCUGGAAGUUCAGAAGCCUGUUCAGCCAGGUCUUAGGCACAAACUGGAAGAAGUGGAUAAGAGUAACAUCCCCUCAGGCAAACCUGAAAGAAUGAUAAAUAAGAAUUGGUACACAAAUGCCCCAACGUCCUGUCCUUUGACAAGAAAAGUCUGAGCUAUGUUCUACAUGGGCCCUUAGAGGGCCCCUAGUGAAAAUGAGCCUCAGUUGCCCACAGUGGAUCCAGCUCAAUUACUCAUUCUUUGUUGGCUUUCGACCUUCCCUGUCUUAUCCUUCCUGCUCACUGCCUCUUGCUCCUUAAGAUCACCUUCAAAAUAAUCUACUCCACCUAUAUCCUUGUCUCAGGCUCUGCUGUUGGAAAAACCUAAACUUAUAAUCAAUCUUUUAAAUUCAAACAAGGUUGGGGGAUUUGACAAUGCCCAAUUUUGUGAACACCCAUUUAUUAGUCUGGUUGAAGACUAAUUUUCUUUUUCCAGAGGAGGCUCCAGAAGCCAGUCCUUUACCUUCUUUCUAAGUAGAUAGGCCUUUACACAGAUACACAGACAAUGAGCUAUUUAGUACAUCUUGUCUUCCUGAAUUAUACACUAAUGAGGAAAAUGGAGGAUCUUAGCCAGAGGGGAAUCGUGAGUUCAAAGUUCUCACCACUGUGGGAAGAGAUGCAAGCUCUACAGGCUAGACCAGAUGGUGGAAAACUGGGCCUCCCGGAGACUAUGCCUUGAUGCAGGGUAGUCCAGGAGCCAAAGCAGCAAAAGUAAAUGAAUCUUUGUGCCGGUGUUCCACUGUAAAUACAACCCAGCUGCUCCCAGCAUUUAUUUUCUAUUUCUUUACUUCCCACCACUAUCCAGCUUCUUCACUCUGAAUCUUCUGUCCCUUUCAUUAGUCCUUCUUAUUACAAUUUCUGUCCCUUCAUGCUUACUGCUUGCUGCGGCUCCUAAUGAUGUGGCUUCUCUCCAUCCACAAUUUCUGCUUCAGCUCCUGUUCUUAAUUUCCUCAUUUCUGCCCUACUUCCAAUUCAGAAUUUCCUUAGAAAGGGAUUCCAAUUGGUAGAGUCAUUAAAUAUUGUCUUUGUUUGGGCAGAGCUUUGACCUCAGGCCACACUCUGCAGGAUAAUUAAAAGGAACCAACAUAUUCAUGUUUAGUAAUCAUGACCAUAAUUACUCUGCCUUCUGUAUUUGACUUGAGAUGUUUGCUAUCCCUCUCUCUGCAACAUCUUUUCAGAGAACUAUGGAACCAUACAAUGUUAUGGUUGGAAAUGAAUCUACAGUUCAUCAUUUUACUAAAGAUCUUACCUCUGUAAGACCACAUCAUCCUUUGUAAACUUGUCACUUGCCCUCCAGUUGGCCUUCUAACUUCGUUGUGAUGGCUCAGUAUCUGUUUGUCCCUGAUAUCUUCUUUUACCUUCCACCGAUAAACUUCUCUCCCUCUUUUUUUCCUGCCCAUGGAGAAAAAAUUGAGCUACUAACACUUCACUCUUGUUCUAAAUAUGUCAUCUCCUUCUACACCCAUAAUCUGACAUUUUUUUUUUAAGGUCUCUUGAUGAUACUGUUUCCACAAGACAAAAAAAAAUGAGUAAAACUGUUUUCUGCUUACUUUUGACAGCAGAUGAGAACAGAAUAGACUUGAUUAUGAAGCAAGAAAUUUUUAAAGGAUUUAUCUGAUGGAACAUCAAGAGGAUUCUUUCUUUCUUUUAAGAGAUAUGAGGUCUCACUCUGUCAUAGUGGCACAAUCAUAGCUCAGUGCAGCCUUGAACUCCUGGGCUCCAGCGAUCCUCCUGCCUCAGCCUCCCAAGCAGCUGGGACUACAGAUGAAUACCAUCAUGCCCCCAGCUAGUAAGAGGGUUCUAUGUGUUGAUUCACUGGGAAACCAGAGACUAGAGAUACCUGUGAAGACACUUUCAAGAAGUUAGAAGAAUUACCCUUGAAUGAAGAAAGGAGCUGACUAGAAGUAGUUUAUUGAAUAACACACAAAGAUUGUUUCAAACCUACAAAAGAUAAAUGUGAGGAAGGGAUUUGGGGAAUCCUCCUAUGUCCUCCAGUCUGGCUAUACAUUAGGAUGGAACAGAAAUCCUACCAAUGUGAUGAAUGUGGCAAAGCUUUCAGAGUGCAUACCUCAAUGGCCAUCAGAAAACCUAUACUGGAGUGAAACCCUGUGAAUGAAUGAGUAUUAUAAGACAUUCAGGUAGAAUUUUCCAUUUUUAUGUCAGACAUUUUUAUCUCUAGAAAUCGAAUUUUAAUUUUUUUAAUAUCUUUUGUGUCUGCUAAACAAAUUCAAUCCUUCCCCUUGAUUUUUGCUUAUAUAGUCAUAAUAUCAUUAAUAUCCUUGUUUGUUGAUUCUUUGUGUCAGUUCUAGGUCAGUUUUGAAUAACUGAUUUUUCUCAUCAAUACAGGUUGUAUUUUCCUAUUUGUUUACAUGCCUAGUAAUAACUGUAUGUCAGACAUUUUCCAUUUUACCUUGUUGGAGACAGAAUACUUUUCAUUCCUAUAACUAUUCUAGGGAGUGGAGGAUGCAGUUAAGUUACAUUAGGUCAGAGAACAUACUUUGUAUUAUUUAAAUCCUUCUGAUGUAUUAAGGUUUGUUUUUUUACCUUGUAUAUGAUUUGUCCUGAAGAAUGUUCCUUGUGUGCUGGAGAGGAAGGUAUAUUCUGCUAUUCUUCAGUGGCAUGUUCUAGGGCUAUAUUAGGCCUAGUUGGUUAAUAGGGUUCAAGUCCUCUAUUUCCUUAUUGAUCUUCUUUCUGGUGUUAAACUAUUAUUGAAAAUGGGCUAUUGAAGCCUCCAACUAUUAUUGUUUGAAUUGUCUAUUUCCCUGCUGCAUCUCUUUCAGUGUUUGUUUAAUGUAUUUUGGGGGUAUUUCAGUAGCUGAAUAUACAUUUGUCAUUGUUAUAUCUUCCUGAUGAAUUGACACCUGUAUUGUUAUAAAAUGCCCUUUUUUAUCUGAAAUAGUAUCUUGUUUUGGUUUUAAAGUCUAAUUUGUCUUGUAUAUAACCACUCGAGCUUUCUUAUGGUUGCUAUUUGCAAAAUACAUCUUUUUCCAUCCUUUUACUUUUAAUCUCUUUGUAUCUUUGAAACUAAACUGUGUCUCCUGUAAACAGCAUAUAAUUGGAUCUUAUUUUUUUAUCCAGUCUGACAAUAUCUGCUUUUUCAUUGGAUUGAUUAAUCCAUUCACAUUUUAUUAUUGAUACGGGGUUUCUUUUUAGACCACAUUUCAUCUGGAAGAAGAUAUAGUUGGAUUUACGUCUGCCAUUUUACUUUUUUUGUUCUCUUUAUCUUAUUAUUAUGAACCCAUUCCUUUUUUUUUUUUUUGACAGGGCCUCACUCUGCCCCCAGACUGGAGUGCGGUGACAUGAUCAUGGCUCACUGAAGCCUUGAAUUCCUGGGCUCAAGUGAUCCUGCUGCCUCAGCCUCUCAAGUAGCUGGGACUAUAGGCAUGCACCACUAUGCCCAGCUAACUUUUUAAAAUUUUUAGUAGAGAUGAGGUCUCACUAUGUUGCCCAUGCUGGUCUCAAACUCCUGAGCUCAAGUGAUCCUCCCACCUUGGCUUCCCAAAAUGCUAGGAUUGUGCAUUUUCUGCCCCAAUCAUAGAAUCAACCACUUUUUUAAAGGGCCCUAGUUCCCUUUAGAGGGAAAUGGUGUUUCAGGACUGCAAUUUUGGUGUGAAGGGUGCUCACUGCUCCUGGUAGAUCUUUGUUUCUAGGUAUUUUCAGUGGAAAGGGCGAGAACAAAUUUUUUCUUUUUCUUUUUAGUUGGCACAUAAUAAUUGUACAUAUUUAUGGGACACAGGGUGAUAUUUUGAUAUGUAUAUACAAUGUGUAAUGACCAAAUCACGGUAAUUAGCAUAUCCAUUACCUGAAACAUUUAUCAUUUCUUUGUGUUGUGAACAUGCAAAAUCCUCUCCUCUAUGUUUUUAAAAAUAUACAAUAAUUUCUAGUUAAUUAUAUUCACCCUACAGUGCUGCAGAACACCAGAACUCCUUCCUCCUAUCUAGCAAUAAUUUUGUGUCUAUUAAGCAAUGUUUCCCCAUCUCUCCCCUCCACUACCCUCCAUAGGCUCUAAUACCCACAAUUCUAUUUUCUACUUGCAUGAGCUCUAAAUUAUUUUUACCUCCCACAUAUAAGAGAGAACAUGUAGUUAUUUAUCUUUCUGUGCUUAUUUUGCUCAACAUAAUGUCCUCCAGGCUCAUCUAUGUUGCCACAAAUGAUAGAAUUUUAUUCUUUUUAUGACUGCAUAGUAUUUCAUUGUGCAUAUAUGCCACAUUUUCUUUAUCCAUUUGUCUGUUGAUGGACACUGGGUUGAUUUUAUCUCUUAGCAAUUGUGAAUAUUAUAGUUCUGUAAUAAGCAUGGGGAAAAAGUAUCUCUUCGAUAUUUAGAUUUCCUUCCUUUGGCUAAAUAUUCAGUAAAGGCAUUACUGUAUCAUAUAGUAGCCCUAUUUUUAAUUUUUUGAGAAACCUUCACACUGUUUUCCAUAAUGGCUGUACUAAUUUACAUUUCCACCAAAAGCAUAUAAAAAUUCCUUUUGAGCUGGGUGCAGUGGCUCACACCUGUGAUCCCAGCACUUUGGGAGGCCAAGGCAGGUGGAUCACCUGAGGUCAGGAGUUUGAGACCAGCCUGGCCAACACCUGGUGAAACCCUGUCUCUACUAAAAAUACAAAAAAUUAGCCAGGCCUGGUGGCAGGUGCCUGUCAUCCCAGCUACUCAGGAGGCUGAGGGAGGAGAAUGACUUGAACCCAGGAGGCAGAGAUUGCAGUGAGCUGAGAUUGUGCCAUUGCACUCCAGCCUGGGCGACAAGAGUGAAACUCCAUCUCAAAAAAAAAAAAAAAAAGGCCGGGCACGGUGGCUCACACCUGUAAUCCCAGCACUUUGGGAGGCCGAGGCAGGUGGAUCACGAGGUCAGGAGAUCAAGACCAUCCUGGCUAACAUGGUGAAACCCCGUAUCUACUAAAAAUACAAAAAAAAAAAAAUUAGCUGGGCGUGGGUGGGUGCCUGUAGUCCCAGCUAGUUGGGAGGCUGAGGCAGGAGAAUGGCAUGAACCUGGGAGGUGGAGCUUGCAGUGAGCCGAGAUCGCGCCACUACACUCCAGCCUGGGUCACAGAGCGAGACUCCAUCUCAAAAAAAAAAAAAAAAGAAACAAAUAAUUACCUUGGAAUGCUCUCCAGCAUUUCUUAUUUUUUGUCUUUUUGAUAAUAGCCAUUCUAACUGGGGUGAGAUUAUAUCUCAUUGUGGUAUUGAUUUGCAUUUCCCUGAUGAUUCAUGAUGUUGACCAUUUUUUCAUGUAUUUAUUGGCCAUUUGCAUGUCUUCUUUUGAGAAAUAUCUAUUUAGAUCCUUUGCCCACUUUUAAUUGGAUUUAGGUUUUUGUUGUUGAGUUGUUUGAGCUCCUGGUAUAUUCUGGAUAUUAGUCCCUUGUCAGAUUAGGAAUUUGCAAAUAUUUUCUCCCACUGUACAGAUUGUCUUUCCACUCCAUUGAUUAUUUCUUUUGCUAUGUAGACGUUUUUUUAGUUUAACACUGUCCAAUUUUUUUAUAUUUUGUUGUCGGUGCUUUUGAAGUCUUAUCCAUAAAAUCUUUGCCUAGACCAAUGUCCUAAAGCAUUUCUCCUAUGUUUUUCUCUGGUAGUUUUAUAGUUUCAGGUCUUACAUUUAAGGCUUUAAUCCACGUUGAGUGUAUUUUUGUAUAUGGGGAUAGAUAGGGAUCUAGUUUCAUUUUUCUACAUAUGUAUAUCCAGUUUUCCCAGCAUCAUUUAUUGAAGAGGGCAUCCUUUCUCCAAUGUGUGUUCCUGGUUCCUUUGUUGAAAAUCAGUUGGCUGUAAAUACAUAGAUGUAUUUCUGGGUCCUUUAUGCUGUUCCGUUUGUCUAUGUCAUACUAUAGCUUUGUAGUAUAUUUUCAAGUCAGGUACUGUAACGCCUCCAACUCUGUUUUUCCUUGAUAAGUACUGGUUUGGCUAUUUGGUGUCUUCUGUGGUUCCAUGCAAAUUUUAGGAUUGUUUUCUAUUUCUGUGAAGAAUGUCACCAAUAUUUUGACAGGGACUGCAUUUAACCUGUAAAUUGCUUUAGGUAGUAUGGGCAUAUUCUUCUGAUCAUGAGCAUGGGAUGUCGUUUCAUUUGUUUGUGUCCUCUUUAAUUUAUUUCAUCAAUGUUUGGUAGCUUUCAUUGUACAGAUAUUUCACUUCCUUUAUUUCUAGUUUUUUUUUUUUUGGUGGGGGGCUAUUGUAAAUAGGAUUGAUUUCUUGAUUUCUUUGUUACCCAGUUCAUUACUGGUGUAUGGAAAUGCUACAGUUUUUUUCUAUGUUGAUUUUGUACCCUGCAACUUUACUAAAUUUGUUUAUCAGUUCAAAGAAUAUUUUAGUGGAAUCUUUAGAAUUUUGAAUACAUGUUUUCUGAAAGGACAAUUUGACUUCCUCUUUUCCAACCUGAAUGCCCUUUAUUUCUUUCUCUUGCCCAAUUACUCUGGCUAGGACUUCCAGUACUAUGUUGAAUAAGAAAGGUGAACAUGAACAUCCUUGUCUUGUUCCAGUUCUUAGAGCUCUCAGCUUUUCCCUAUUCAGUUUGAUGUUAGCUAUGAGUUUGUCAUAUUUGGCCUUUAUUGCACUGAAGUAUGUUCCUUCUAUGCCUAGUUUGUUUAGGGUUUUUAUCAUAAGAGGAUAUAGAAUUUUAUCAAAUGCUUUAUCUGCAUCUGUUGAGAUGAUCAUAUGUUUUUUGUUCUUCAUUCUGUUUAUGUGAUGUAUCACAUUUAUUGAUUUGCGUAUUUUGAAACAUCCUUUCAUCCCUGGGUUAAAUCCCACUUGAUCAUGGUAUAUUAUCUUUUGGUUAGAUUUUAUUUGCUAGUAUUUUGUUGAAGACUAUUGCCCCUAUGUUCAUCAGGGAUACUGGCCUGUAGUAUUCUUUUAUUAUUGUGUCCUUUUCCAGUUUUACCCUGGUAUCUGGGUAAUGCUGGCCUUGUAGAAAGAAUUAGAAAAAUUCUCUCAUCUUCAGUAUUUUGGAAUAGUUUGAAAACAGUUGCCGUUAGUUUUUUUAAAGUUUGGAGGCCAGACAUGGUGGCUCAUGCCUGUAAUCCCAGCACUUUGGGAGGCUGAGGUGGGAGGAUUGCUUCAGGGCAGGAGUUUGAGACCAGCCUGUAUAAUAUAGAGAGACCAUGUCCCUACAACAAUAAAAAAAAAUUAGCCGUGCAUGGUGGUGCAUGCCUGUAAUCCUGGCUACUUGGGAGGCUGAGGCAAGAGGAUCACUUGAGCCCAGGAGUUUGAGAUUAUAGUGAUCACACCAUUUCACUCCAAACUGGGCAAGAGAGCAAGAUCUUUUCUCUAAAAAAAUUUUUUUUUUUUAAGUUUGGUAUGCUAGGUGCAAAGACACAUGUCUGUAGCCCCAGCUAUCCAGGAGGCUGAGGCAGGAGCAUGGCUUGUGUCCAGGAGUUUGAGUCUAGCAUGGGGAACAUAACAGGACCCUGACUCUAAAAAAAAACAAAAGUUUGGUAGAAUGCAGCAGUAAAGUUAUCCAGUUCUGGGCUUUUUGUUGUUGUUGUUGUUGUUGUUAUUGAUUCACUCUCAUUACUUAUGAUUGGUCUGUUCAUAUUUUCUACUUCUUCCUGGUUCAAUCUUGGUAGGUUGUAUAUAUCUGGAAAUUUAUCCAUUUCCUCAAGGGUUUCUAAUUUGUUGGCAUAUAGUUGUUUGGAAUAGCCUCCAUUGAUCCUUUGUGCUUCCGUGGUAACAGCUGUAAAGCUGUAAUGGUUCCUUUUUCAUUUUUUAUUUUAUUUUAGUCUUCUCUCAUUUCUUUGUUUAGUCUAGCUAAUGAUACCGAGAUCACCUUUUGGUUCAAUGAUUCACAAGAUUCAGCAUAGCUUCAUACUCAUAGCCAUGAUUUGCUACAUCAAAAGAAUUCAAAGUAAAAUCAGCACAGAGAAAAGGCUCAUAGGGUGAAUUCCCGAAGGUACCAGGUGUAAGUUCCAAGAUUCUUUUCCCAGUGGAAUUACAAAAGACAUGCUUAAUUCCUCCAGGAACAAAUUGCUACAAGUGUAAAAUGUUGUGUACUAGGAAACGGACUAGAGAUUCAAUUUGAGAAUUUUUAGUGUGGGCUGGUCACACAUGCACACUCUGCCUGGCAUGUACUAAAAUUCUAAACUCCCAGAAAAAAGUAGAUAUUCAGCAUAAACCAUAUUGUUUGCACAAACAAUUUAGGUAUAGUGAUCCAUUCUUAUCAGGGAAUGGUGGAAAAUCUCUCAAUGUCCAGGUUCCCAGAUGCUGACCAACCUUGAGAGCAGACCUUUCUAAGGAUAACAGUCGCAGGCAUACUAACUUCAGUAUUUUAACUAUACAGGGUCAGACUUUUUCCUGUGUCUUUGCAUGUCUCAUCAUUUUUUUAUUGGAAAUAGAAUGUUUUAGAUAACAUUAUAGCAACUCUAGGUACUGCUCCCCUCUUUCCUAGGCUUUGUAUUUUCAUUUGCUUGUUUAUUUAUUUAGUGACUGACUAGAUUAAUUUAGUGAAGUCUAUCCCCAACCCUACCAAAUGUGAAGCCUCUAACAUUGCUCCUUAGAGGGCUCAGCCUUGGGCAUACACAUUGUCACCCCAAAAAGAGAGUGGAUUUAUCGAGAUUCACAUUGUCUCUUUCCCUUAUCAAACCCAGCUAUUAAGCACCACCAAUUGCCAGAUGAUUGUUCUGUUGUUUUCUACAAUAUCCUGAGGCUAAAAUUGCUCCACAGACUGAUCUAAUUAAUUUGGGGUUCCUUUGCAAGAAUAGUUUUUUUUAAAAGACUUUAAAUUUUAAUUGUGGUAAAAAAUGCAAAACAUAAAAUUUACCAUAUUAAUUAUUUUUAAGCCUACAGUUAAGUGGCAUUAAGUAUAUUCACAAUGCUAUACAAUCUCCAGAACUUUUUCAUCUUGCGAAACUGAAACUCUAUACCCAUUAAACAACUCACUAUUUCCCCAUUCCCCAAGACCCUGGCAAUCACCAUUCUACUUUCUGUUUUUAUGAGUUUCACUACUUUAGAUACGUCUUAGAAGUGGAAUCAUAGUCUUUGUUUCGUGUGACUGGUUUAUUUCACUUAGCAUAAUGUCUUAAGAUUCGUCCAUGUUGUAGUGUAUGAUAGAAUUGCCUUCUUUUUUUUUUUUUUUUUUUUUUGAGACGGAGUCUCGCUCUAUUGCCAAGCUGGAGUGCAGCAGCAGGAUAUCGGCUCACUGCAGCCUCCACCUCCUGGGUUCAAGCGAUUCUCCUGCCUCAGCCUCCCGAGUAGCUGGGCGUGUGCCACCAUGCCCAGCUAAUUUUUGUAUUUUUAGUAGAGAUGGGGUUUCACCAUGUUCGCCAGGAUGGUCUCGAUCUCUUGACCUCGUGAUCUGCCAGCCUUGGCCUCCUAAAGUGCUGGGAUUACAGGUGUGAGCCACCGUGCCUGGCCGAAUUGCCUUCUUUUUUAAGGCUCAAUAAUAUUCCAUUGCAUGUAUAUAUGACAUUUUGUUUAUCCAUGCAUCUAUUGAUGGACAUUUGGAUUUCUUCCACCUCUUGCUAUUGUUAAUAAUGCUACUAUAAAAAUGAAUGUGCAAAUAUCUCUUAGAGAUCCUGUUUUCAAUUCUUAUGAAUACAUACCUAGAAGUGGGGUUGCUGGAUUGUAUGGUAAUUCUAUUUUAAUUUUUAAUUAAUUAAUUAAUUAAUUUUUUAUUGAGACAGGGUCCCACCCUGUCACCCAGGCUGAAGUGUAGUGGUGUGAUCCCGGCUCACUGCAGCCUCGACCUCCCAGGCUCAAUCAAUACAUCUGCCUCAGCCUCCUGACUAGCUGGGACUACAGGUAUGCACUACCAUGCCCAGUUAAUUUUUUAAUUUUUUAUAGAGACAGGGUCUUGCCAUGUUGCCCAGGCUGGUCUUGAACUCCUGGGCUCAAGCAAUCCAACUGCCUCGGCCUCCCAAAGUGCUGAGAUUACAGGCAUGAGCCUCCAUACCCAACCUGUUUUUAAUUUUUUGAGAAAUUGCUAUUCUGUUUUAUGUAGCAGCUGUGCCAUUUUACAUCCGCACCAACAGUGCACAAAGGUACCAAUUCUGCACAUUCUCAUCAAUGCUUAUUAUUUUCUUUUCUGUUGUUGUUGUUGUUUUGGUUUUGAUAAUUGCUAUCAUAAUGGUGUGAGAUGACCUCUCAUUGUGGUUUCGAUUUUUACUUCUCUAAUGAUUAAUGAUAUUGAGCAUUUUUUUAUAUGCUUGUUGGCCAUUUGCGUAUCAUUGGAGAAAUGUCUAUUUAAGUCUUUUCCUCAUUUUUUAAGUUUUUUGUUAUUGAAUUGUAGGAGUUAUUUAUAUAUUCUGGAUAUCAACUACUCAUCAAAUGUUUAAUUGCAAAUUUUUUCUCCCAUUCCAUAGGUUGUCUUUUCAGUCUGAUUAUGUCCUUUAGUGCACAGAAGUUUUAAAUUUUGAUGUAGUAUAGUUUAUCUAUUUUUACUUUUUUUUUUUUUUCAAGACGGAGGCUUGCUCUGUUGCCCAGGUUGGAGGGCAAUGGCACAAUCUCAGCUCACUGCAACCUCUGCCUCCCAGGUUCAAGGGAUUGUCCUUCCUCAGCCUCCUGAGUAGCUGUGAGUACAGGCACACGCCACCAUGCCCAGCUAAUUUUUGUGUUUUUAGUAGAGAUGAGGUUUUGCCACAUUGGCCAGGUGGUCUCAAACUCCUGACCUCAAGUGAUCCAACCUCCUAGGCCUCCCAAAGUGCUGGGAUUACAGGUGUGAGCCACCGCACCUGGAUUUACUUUUAUUGCCUGUGCUUUUGGUGUCAUAGCCAAUAAUUCAUUGUCAAAUCCACAUUUAACUUUUUAAACAACAGCCAACGUGUUUUCCACAGUUGUUACACUACUUUACAUUUCUGCCUACAGUGUUUGAAAGUUCCAGUUCCUCCACAUAUUUGCCAACAUGUGAUGUGAACUAUCUUAUUAAUUUUCAUCAUUCUAAUUGGGGUGUAGUGGUAUCUCCCUGUGGUUGUAAUUUGCAUUACCCUAAAAACCAGUGAUGUUGAACAUCUUUUCCAGUGCCUAUUUGCCAUCUGAAUGUCUUUGUCAGUGAUGUGUCCAUUCAGAUCUUUGCACAUUAUUCUACUAGGUUAUUUGCUUCCUUAUUGUUGGAUUUUGACACUUUUGGAUACAAAUCCUUUAUCAGAUAUAUGCUGUAUUCAUAUUUUUCCCAGAUCGUGGCUUGUUUUGUAAUUUUCCUAACAGUACUUUUCAAAAAACAGAUCUUUUAGUUUUGAUGACAUCCGUUUAUCAAAUUGUUCUUUUGUGAAUCAUACCUUUGGCAUUAUAUGUAAGAAAUGUUUGUCUAAUGCAAGAUGACACAAUUUCUCCAGAUUUAUUCUAGAAUUUUCAUUGUUUUAGGUUUCCUACUGAGGUAUAGUAUUCAUUAUUAAUUUUUAAUAUAUUGGGAGAUAUUGAUCAAAGUUAAUAUUUUUACAUAGGGAUAUCCAAUUAUUCCAAUAUGAUUUGUUGGAAAGAUACCAUUUAUCCACUGAUUGCCUUUGAACAUUUGUCGAAAAUCAGUUGCUCAUAUAUGUGUGGAUCUAUUUCUGAAUUUUUUAUUCUCUUCUAUUUAUCUAUUUUUCUAUCACUAUGCCAAAACUACACUGUCUUGACUGCUGUAGUUCUACAUACGUUUUAAGAUCAGGUUAGCCCUCCAAAUUUUAAAAUAUUUUUCUGAUUUGUUUUGGCUACUCUAAGCUCUUUGCAUUUUCAUAUAGAAUUUAGAGACAACUUUUUAAUUUUUACAAAACACACACACAACUACUAGGAUUUUGAUUGAGAUGGAUUUGAGUCUACAGUUUGUGGACAAUUGACAUAUUAACCAUACUGCAUACUCUGAUCCGUGAACAAAGUAGAUUUCCAUUUGGUUAGGUCUUCUUUAAUUUCUCUCACCAAAGUUUUACAGUACUUAAUAUACAGAUAUUUUGCAUUUUUGCCAUAUUAAUUACUGUAUUUCAUAUUUUAAUGCUAUUAUAAAUGAUAUUAUUUAAAUUUUGAUUUCAAAUUGUUCAUUGUUAGUAUAUAAAAAUCAAAUUGAUUUUUAUAAAGUUAUGUGUCCUGCAACCUUCCUCAACUCACUUACUAGUUCUAGUAGCUUUUAAAAGAGAUUUAAUUGGAUUUUAUACAUAGCGAAUUGUGUCGUCUACAAAGAAGGACAAUUUUACUUUGUUCUUUCCAACCUGUAUGCCAUUUAUUUAUUUAUUUACUUAUUUUAACUGCCCUGGCUAGAACCUGCAGUACACUGUUGAGUAGACAAAGUGGUGAAAGCACUUUAUCUUGUUCCUGAUCUCAGGAGGAAAGCUCAGUCUUUCAACAUUAAGUGUGAUACCAACUAUAAAAUUUUUGUAGAUACUUUUAAAUCAGAUUUAGGAUCUCGUUUACCCCUAAUUUGCUGAGGGGUUUAAAAUUUCAAAAUCAAUGAUGGAUGUUAGAUUUUGUCAAAAGCUUAUUCUAUACCAUCAUAGUGACCAUGAUUUUUCAUUUUUAGCUUGUUAAUAUGGUGAAUUACACUGAUCAAUUUUCAAAUACAAAGCCAACAUUGCAUUUUUUGAAAAAAUUCCUUUGGUCUGGAUGUAUUAUCCAAUUAUUGGAUAGUGAUUUACUAAAAUUUCAUAUUGUUGGCUUUAAUUUGCUAAAAUUAAAUGAAUUAGGAUUUUUGCAUUUAAGUCUGUGAAGGCUAUUGGUCUGUACUUUUAUUGUAACACUUUUAUUGUAUUGGAUCUGGUUAAUGCUGGCCUCACAGACUGAGUUGGAAAAUAUUUCCUCAUACUCAAUUUUCUGCAGGAGCUUGUUGUAUAAAGUUAGUACUAUUUCUUCCUUAAACGUCUGAUAAAAUUUACCAGUGAAGCCACCUAGGUCUAGAUUUUUUUGAAUUUUUAAUUUUUGUGGGUACAUAGUAAGUGUGUAUAUUUAUGAGGUGCAGGAGAUAUUUUGAUACAAGCAUGCAAUGUGUAAUAAUCACAUUGUGGAAAAUGGGGUAUCCAUCCCCUCAAGUAUUUAUUCUUUGUGUUAUAAACAAUCCAAUUACAUUCUUCUAGUCAUUUUAAAAUAUGCAGGCUGGGCGCAGUGGCUCACGCCUGUAAUCCCAGCACUUUGGGAGGCCGAGGCGGGCGGAUCAUGAAGUCAGGAGAUGGAGACCAUCCUGGCAGGUGAAACCCCGUCUCUACUAAAAAAAAUACAAAAAAUUAGCCGGGCAUGGUGGCGGGCGCCUGUAGUCCCAGCUACUCGGGAGGCUGAGGCAGGAGAAUGGCAUGAACCCGGGAGGUGGAGCUUGCGGUGAGCUGAGAUGGCGCCACUGCACUCCAGCCUGGGCGACAGAGCGAGACUCCGUCAAAAAAAAAAAAAAAAAAAAAGCAAUUAAAUUAUUAUUGACUUUAGUCACCCUGUUAUCAAAUACUAGGUGUUAUUCAUUCUUUCUAUUUUUUAAAUACCCAUUAACCAUCCCCACUACCCCCACCCCCCACUACCCUCCCCAGCUUCUGGUAACCAUUCUUUUACUCUCUAUCCCCAUGAGUUCAAUUGCUUUGAUUUUUGGAUCCCACGAAUAAGAACAUAAGAUGUUUGUCUUUCUUUGCCUGGCUUAUUUCACUUAACAUAAUGACCUCUGGUUCCAUCCAUGUUGUUGCAAAUAAAGGAUCUCAUUCUUUUUUAUAGCUGAAUAAUAUUCCAUUGGGUAUAAGUACCACAUAUUCUUUAUCCAUUCAUCUGCUGAUGGACACUUAGGUUGCUUCCAAAUCUUGGCUUUGUGAACACUGCUGCAACAAACACAGUAGUACAGAUAUCUCUUCAAAGUACCAAUUUCCCUUGUUUUGGGCAUAUGCCCAAGAGUGGGAUUGCUAGAUCAUAUGGUAGCUUUAUUUUUAGUUUUCGUCAGAACCUCUAAACUGUUCUCCAUAGUGGUUGUACUAAUUCACAUUCCCACCAACAGUGUAUAAGGGUUCCCUUUUCUCCACAUCCUCACCAACAUUUGUUAUCACCUGUCUUUUGGAAAAAGGCCAUUUUAACUGGACUGAGAUGAUAUGUUAUUGUAGUUUUGAUUUGCAUUUCUCUGAUGAUCAAUUAUGUUGGGCACCUUUUCAUAUGCCUUUUUGCCAUUUGUAUUUCUUCUUUUGAGAAAUGUCUACUCAAAUCUUUUGCUUAUUUUUAAAAUCGAAUUAUCAGAUUUGUUUUCUAUAGAGUUGUUUGAGCUUGUUAUAUAUUCUGGUGAUUAAUCCCUUGUCAGAUGGGUAAUUUGCAAAUAUUUUCUCCCAAUCUGUGGGUUGUUCCUUCACUUUGUUGCUGGUUUUCUUUGCUAUGCAGAAGCUUUUUAACUUGAUGUGAUCUUGGGCCUAGAUUUCUAUGUCUGUGGGGGAAGUGUUUUAUUUUUUAUAGUUAUAGCACUAUUCAGCGCUAUCUAUUUUUUUUCUAAAGUGAGUAUUGGUAGUUUGUGUCUGUCAGGGAACUGGCCAUUUGAUCUAAAUUAUCAAAGUUAUUGGCAUAAAGUUGUUUAUAACAUUCCCCCAUUAUCCUUUAAUUGGUGUAGAAUCCAUAGUGAUGUCACCUCUUUUAAUCCCAAUGUCGAUACUUUGUGUCUCUUUUCCUUUUUUUUGCUGAUCAGUCCUACUAGAAGCUUAUGCAUUUAUUUAUUUUCUAAAAACCACUUUUGGCUUGAUUUUCUCUAUUGUCUUCUUGUUUUCCAUUUUACAGGUUCCCAUUUUGAUCUUUAUUAUUUCUUUUGUUCUGUUUACAUUGGCAUUACUUUGCUUUUUUUAUUCUAGUUUCUUAAACUUUACUCUUUUCCUUUAUUUUUUUUUAACACUGAGAUAGGGUUUCACUAUUUUGCCCAGGCUGCAUUUGAACUCCUGGGCUAAAGUAAUUCUCCCACCUCAGCCUCCCAAGUAGCUGGGACUGUAGGCAUGCACCACCACACCCGGCUACUCUUUUGUGUGUGUGUGUGCGCACGCGUGUGUGUGUGCGUGUGUGUGUGUGUGUACAUACAGUCUAUGAUACCAUAUUCUAAUGUAGAUAUUUAGUGCUAUAAUUUCCCUCAGCUAAUGUUUUAACAACAUUCCAUAAUUUUUUUUGAGAUGGAGACUUGCUCUAUCACCCAGGUUGGAGUGCAGUGGUGUGGUUAUAGCUCACUAUAGCCUUGAACUCCUGGGCUCAGUGAUCCUUUCAUGCCAGCCUCCCAAGCAGCUAGGACUACAGGCAUGCAUCCCAUGUCUAGCUAAAUUAUCUUUUUUUUUUUUUUGUAGAAUCAGGGUCUCACUAUGUUACCCAGGUGAGUCUUGAACUCCUGACCUCAAGCAAUCUUCCUACCUUGGCCUCCCAAAGUGCUGGGAUUAUAGGUGUUAGCCACUAUACCUGACUAUAACAUUUUUUUCUUUUCUUUCUUUCUUCUUUGUAUUAUAUUGAGACAGAAUUUUGUUCUGUUGCCCAGGCUGGAGUGCAGUGGUAUGAUUAUGGCUCACUGCAGCCUCAACUUCCCGGGCUCGAGUGAUCAUCCCACCUCAGCCUCCGGAGUAGCUGGGACUACAGGCAUGUGUCACCACGCCCAGAUAUAUAUAGUGUUUUUUUGUAGAGACGAGGUUUUGCCAUGUUGCCCAGGCUGGUCUCGAACUCCUGAGCUCAAGUGAUUUGCCUGCCUCAGCCUCCCAAAGUGCUGGGAUUACAGGCGUGAGACACUGUGCCUGGCCAAUAACUUUUUUGAUCAGCUAUAAUUAUUUGUUUUUUAAUGAUUGCUUUAGGAUUUAUAGUGUAUGUCUUUAGCUUAUUCGUCUGCCUUCAAGUGGUAUUAUACUACUUCCUGUACAGCAGUGGCAUAUAGCAGUGGUUCUCAUUUGGGGGCAAUAUUGAGAGAUAUUUUUAAUUGUCAUGACGGGGUAAAAGCCAUUGAUGCUGCUAAACAUCCUAGAAUGCUAGGAUAGCCCCUGCCACAAAAAUUAUCUGGUCCAAAAUGUCAAUAAGGCCAAGGUUGGGAAAAAUUCAUAUUUCUAUCAGGUGUCAUUUUUCUUUUGCCUAAAAGACUUACUUUAACAUUUCUUAUAGUACAGGUCUGUGAGUGAUCCAUUAUUUUAGCUUUUUAAUGUCUGCAAAUAUGUUUUGCCUUUGUUCUUGAACUAUAUUUUCACUGGUCUGGAAUUCUAGUUUGGCUUACUCUGUUGUCCAGGCUGGAGUGCAGUGGUGUGAUCAUGGCUCACUGCAGCCUUGAGCUCCUGCAUUCAAGUGAUCAUCCCACCUCAGCCGCUGGAGUAGCUGAGAUUUUUUUCUUUCAGUACUUUAAACAUGCCGCUCCACUCUCUUCAUGGUUGCAUUGUGUCCAGUGAGAAAUCUGUUGUGAUCCCUGUCUUCUUCUCCAUACCUAAUGUCUUUGUCCUCUGGUCAUUUUAUUUUUGAAUGUUUUGAGCAAUUUAAUUAUAGAGUAGUUUUCUUCACAUUUAUUCUGUGGCUUACUGUUCUUCCCGACUGAGACAGUCCCUUCUGAGUACUCUACCUAAUGCACAAAGCAAUGCAGUGUUUUCAGUCCAGCUUGUGAGAACAGUCACUAUUCCUGGCCAUAUUUCUAUGCCUGACACCAUUCCCUCUAAUCCUUUGGGAUGGUUCUUUCUUUGGCCUCAGAUAAGUUUUCCUCAUACGCCAAUCAGUACUCUGUGGAGUAUCCUAGGGGACCCUUCAAAGAUCCCCAGAAUUCUCUGUGCAGGUCCCUCUCCUCCAGAAUUCUGUCUUGUGAACUCUAUCUGCCUUGGUCUCCUUAGAUUCUCAGUUGUGUCUUCAACUCAGGAACUUCAUCACACAGCUACACCUGGGUCUCCCAUCCCUGUGUAGCUGUCUGGUAACUCUCUCAAGACAAUAAGUUAGGACAUUUGUAGGGCUCAUCUCAUUUGUUUCCCAUCUAUCAGAGAUCAUCAUAUUUUGUUGUUGAUGCCCAAUGUCUUAAAAGCUAUUAUUUCAUCUAUUUUAUUUGAGAUUAUUUCAAGCAGGGGUAUAAUUCUGGUUCCUGUAACUCUUCUAUGACCAGAAAUAGAAGACUGUCCUUCAGUUUUCUUCAUAUCUAAGUAUUUUCCCUUUUUUAAAUUAAGUUUUCUUCUUAACCCAGGAAUUCUUUAGAAAUGCAUUAAUUUCCAAAUGUAUUUUAAUUUUGACUUCUAUCUUAAUUACAUCAUGUUCUGUGCAGAGGGCAUUGUGCCACACUGUCCGGAUUCCUCUUCAGAUUUUCUCCCCGCAACCACCUCACUAGAGGGGCAGGCCAAAAGCCUUCAAAUGUCAGCCUUCUCUGGGAACUAUCCUCAGCUUUAAUCUACCUCACCCACUUUAAGCCCAGGACAAAUCCCACAAUCCUCCUUGCUGUCUUCCAUUGCUGCUGGCUGACUUUUUUCUAAUGCAUACUUUCACUGAGGGUGUAGCCCUGUAAGCAUCUGGGCUUCUUGUGGAGACCUGUGCCAACUUUCCCCCUCUUGCAAGCCCAAGGACUCAAAUCCUCUUCUGCAUGGCUGAUAAAAUUCAAGUCCAUUGGAUACCAAAUCACCAAACUGCCUCUUGGCAACCAAAGACAGCAUCCACACACUUACCUUUCUAACUUCCAUUUCAUCUUCAUUUUUGGCUCUAAGGAUUUAUUUCACUUUCUUGAAAAUACUUUAAAAGGACGUUUAAAUUUUAUUCAGCAUUUCUGUGUGUUUGUAGCCAAAGGGCUUUAUGAAUACCCAGCUUGUCAUGUUGUUUUAUUCUUUCUUUUUUUUUCUUGAGAUGGAGUCUCACUCUAUCACCCAGGCUGGAGUGCAGUGGCGCAAUAUCUGCUCACUGCAACCUCUGCCUCUCGGGUUCAAGCGAUUCUCCUGCCUCAGGCUCCUAAGUAGCCGGGAUUACAGGCGUGCGCCACCAUGCCUGGCUAAUUUUUGUAUUUUUUUAGUAAACGGGGUUUCACCAUGUUAGCCAGGCUGGUCUCAAACUCCUGACCUCAAGUGAUCUGCCUGCGUUGGCCUCCCAAAGUGCUGGGAUUACAGGCGUGAGCCACCGCGUCUGGCCUAUUCUACUUUUUAAAAACAUGCUAAAUUCUGUGGUUAAACUAACUGCGAAUGUGACAGCAUUUUCUUUCUGACUCAGUUAACUGCUGAUUUGUCAUAUGAUUGUACAAGCUUUGGUAUAAGUCUCAAUAAUUUUGUAAUUUGUCACAAAUCUUCUGUGGGAAGAGUCUUCUGUUCUUCCAAAGGAAAAUGGAUAAUCAGUAUAAAAACAGUCAACAGUCAUGUAAAGAGUCAAGGCUCCUGGGCUGGACACAGUGGCUCACACCUGUAAUCUCAGUACUUUGGGAGACCAAGGUGGGAGGAUUGCUUGAGGCCAGGAGCUCAAGAUCAGCCUGGGCAAGCCAACAUAGUGAGAUUCCUUCUCUACAAAAAAAAAGAAAAAGGAAAAAAGAAAAAAACCUCAAGGUUCCUAAAGGAAAAUUUUAUCUGAUCCCCAUUGCAAAGUUUUGUUUUAUUCCAAGGCCCCACUGUAGAUAUGCUGAUUUGGUGGGCCUGGGAAAUUUAUCUGUAGGUGUAAAAUUACCUCUUGUGAAUCCCAAACUUGGAAUCCACUAGCCUUGGUUUCAGAGAUUGGUCACAGCUUUUGUAUGUCUGUAAUCCAUAUAGUCAAGUUGUGCCGUCUGGAUUUGAAAUAAUCAGAGAGAGGAAUGGGAACUAGUCAGGUCCUGUAACUAUGCUGCACAGAAAGGAGUCUGCCAUCUCUUUUUAACCCUCUCAAACCUACCUUCUGGAGCAGAGAGGGACUUCAGAGAACAUGGCUGGUUUUUAUACAGCCAUCUGAGGUCUGCACAGCAGUAGGGGUAUGAAGCACGUGUGUGGCCAGAGAGAGGGUAUGGCACAUAGCCCUCUCAAGAAAUAACAGAAGGAAAAUUUCUAAUGGCUAGAGAGUGCUUACUUAUGUAUUACUAGUGUGAAAAUUACAAACUUCUUGUAGUGUUUGAAUGAGAAACCAGCCAGAAUCACUUCUUUAUUCUAAAAACAGCCACUAUGAUGGUUAAUAUUAGGUGUCAACUUGACUGGAUUCAGAGAUGCCUAGAUGGCUGGGGAAGCACUGUUUCUGUGAGUGUCUGUGAGGGUGAUGACAGAAGAGAAUGACAUUUGAGUCAGUGGACUGGGAGAGGAAGACCCACCCUCAAUGUCAGUAGGCAUAUCUAAUCAGCUGCCAGCACAGCUAGAAGAAAGCAGCCGCAAGAAGGGGGAUAAGAAGCUUGCUGGGUCUCCUGUCUCUUUCCAUGCCAGGUGCUUUGCUUCCUCUCUUCCUGCCCUUAGACAUUCUAAGUUCUUCAGUCUUUGGACUCUGGGACUUGCACCAGCAGCCUCCUGGAGGUUCUAGGGCCUCUGGCCUCAGACUGAGGCUGCACUUUAGUUUCCUUGGUUUUGAGGCUUUCAGACUUGGACUGAGCCACACUACCAGCUUCUCUUUUGCCAGCUUGCAGAUGGCCUAUGGCGGGACUUUGCCUUAAGCCAAUUCUCCCUAGUAAAAUCUCUUUUAUAUAUACAUACAUCCUAUUCAUUCCAUCCCUCUGGAGAAAGAACCCUAAUAUAGCUACUUAAAGAAAAGCAGAUUGAACUAUUUUUUUCCCACUCUGAACAAAGAAAGUAAGCAAAAAGAAAAAAAAAGUGAUAUUUAUAAGAAUAGCAGACGUUUAUUGAAGGAAUUAUCACUACUUCCUGCAAAACAAUUUCAUGACUCCAGUUUUAUAACAUCAGAGGCUAUUAAAGACAGUCUGGCGACUAAAAACAACUGACAAUAUGGGCAUCUUUUAAAUUUUAUAUUAAAUGGAAAAAACAAUCAAGAAAGGAAGUCCUGCUGAGGGUACAGAGCUGCAAUGAAAUUUAGUCUUAAGGGAUUUAGAUUCAACAGCUACUAAUUAAUCCUAAUUACUCAGUUACUUAAAGCUGUUUUUUACUUCAAUUUUCUUCCAAGUAAUACCUAACACAGGACGCACCAUCUAUGAAAAAAGAUUUCUAAGUCCAGGGCGACACUUUCCUCUCUAAGCAGAAUUCUUUGUCUUACGUAUUGCCCUCUACUCAAGGCUAUAUAAAAUGAGAUUUUCGUAUUUUCCUCUCAACUAAAAAGAGCAUAUAUAUUUUUAUUCUACACAGGAGCAAUUCUAUAUAACCAGGAUGUCUGUGGCUAAAAUUAUUGCCUCUUUAUAUUCCUCAGGAAUAUUCAGGGUACUAAAACUGUAAGUGAAUAAAUGUGAGUAGACAAGAAACCAAAUAACAAGAAUGAGCAAUACACAGUAGUUUAGUGAUAUAUAUUUCAAAAGCACUGGGUUGGGUUUUUGUGGGUUUUUUGUUUUGUACUGUUUUGUUUCUGAGACAGGGUCUUGCUCCGUGACCUAGGCUGCAGUGCAGAAUUGUGAUCAUAGCUCACUGUAACAGUGAACUCCUGGGCUCAAGUGAUCCUCCCCCCUCAGCCUCCUGAGUACCUAGGACUACGUGUGUAUGCAACCAUGACUGAUUAGAGCUAAGUUUCUGAUGGAGAAGAGAGAAGAAAUGGCAGUACAGAGAGGUACAUGAGUUGAGAGACACAUAAACCAGCAAUUGAGGAAUGCAGAAUAAGCACUGCCCUUGGGGAACAGCCCGGUUUCCAUUGGAACAAGAAUGUGAAGAAAACACAUUCAUUCAAGACCAGCCUGACCAACAUGGCAAAACCUCGUCUCUACUAAAAAUACAAAAAAUUAGCCAGGUGUGGUGGCAGGUACCUGUAAUCCCAGCUACUUGGGAGGCUGAGACAGGAGAAUCGCUUGAACCCAGGAGGCAGAGGUUGCAGUGAGCCGAUAUCACGCCAUUGCACUCCAGCCUGGGCGACAAGAGCAACACUCCAUCUCAUAAAUAAAUAAAUAAAUAAAUACACAUAUAAAUAAAGCCAGGUGCAGUGGCUCAUGCCUAUAAUCCCAGCACUUUGGGAGGCCGAGGCAGGUGGAUCUUGUGAGGUCAGGAGUUCGAGAUCAGCCUGGCCAACAUGGUGAAACCCUAUCUCUAUUAAAAAUACAAAAAUUAGCUGGGUGUGGUGGCAGGUGCCUGUAAUCUCAGCUACUCAGGAGGCUGAGGCAGGAGAAUUGCUUGAACCUGGGAGCUGGAGGUUGCGGUGAGCUGAGAGCUGAGAUCACGCCACUGCACUCCAGCAUGGGCGACAGUGCGAGAUUCCAUCUCAAAAAAAAAAAAAAAAGAAAAGAAAAGAAAAGAAAGAAAAAGAAAGCACAUUAAAAGAGACAGUUCCUGGUUUCCAGAGGGUAUUAUGAAAGGGCUUGAAAGGAUGGUAAGAGCUGCAUGCCUAAACUCUGACUGAGGUAAAAGUUGGUAACCCUGGGAGACUCCCGGAGAAAGGUGGGUGAUCAGUUCAAAUUAUAGCUGAAUGUUUAUCUGAAAGGAUGCAGGAACCCACUGUCAAGUGUUUAUUCCUACAGCUCAAGGCAGGUAUUAGCCUAGAAGAUGGGUGAUGGCCUCCUCAAGAGACUAUAAUCCUCGCCUGCCUGGGGCAAGAAAUAUGAAGCUCUCCUAUAUUCAGUUCUCUGGUUAUGAGAUGGCAUCAUAUCCUUCCUUGAGAUAUACUCUUGAAGAUCAUAGUCUUCUAAGACAAAAAAGAAAGCCUAUCUAAAUAAAGAGUUUUAGGCACUAUGACAUGGUGGUGAAAAAAUGUUUUGGUCAGAGAAUAUCUGCUCAGCAAUAUAUAAAGCAUCAACAAUUCUGCUCAGGAAUGAUAGACCAGGCUUGUCCAUGAAUGCUACAAAUCUGUUCCAGGCCUUCCAAACCCUGCUUGGAAUGACCAUGCAAAGGACUAUUAUAUCACAAAUUAUGUGCAAACCACUAUCCUAUCAAAAUAGGACAAAAUCAGUAAUUUUUUUUCACACAAAUAUACAACCUUCACCCUUCACUUCUUUCUUUCCGGUAACAGCAAGAAAGAAAUAUAUAUACCUUAAAACUAAAUUAUGAGGUACAGAGAUAGGCCAUAAACCCCAUUCACAGAACACUGAUAACAUCUUCCCUAUAAAACCAUGGUCAAAUAUCAAAUAAUUGUUAGAUACAAUCACCUUUCAUAGAGGCAGCUACCUGGGAAAACGCCAACUGGUCUUCCACUCACAUACAGAACCACCAUGGUGGGCAGAGGCACUUUGGUAUAAUGAAGAAAGCAUGAAUUUCAAAGUCAGAUCUGAGCUCAAAUCCUGGCUCCGACAACUUACUAGCCAGUCACCUAACCUCAAUGACACUCAAUUUUCUUGUAUAAUAGAGGGAGAACUAAAUAACAUAUUAUCAAAAAUUCCCCAAACACUAAUUCACUAUGUGCAUAAGACAGAUAACAGUGGGCUUAGGGAUUCACUGUAUACACAGAGGAAUGGCUGAGUUAAAAAUAGGGAGAUUCUAAGUGUUUCAGAGUGACUUUGAGCUAAGCACUUAAAAUGUUUUAAAUAUUGGUGGAAGAUGGGCUAAGACCUUCAAGGAGGACUGGUCAUAAAGAAAGGCAGAGGAAGAUAGAAAACAUCUGUUGUAUUGAUUGCUCAACACCUCUCCGUCCCUUCUUCAGGGAAAGAUUUUUCUCAGUGACAAAAGGAAGAAACCAGAUGAGAAAGCCUCAGCUCCUUUUCCAGUUCCCAAUCUGAAGGAGUUGUGUGAAGGCAAGAUGCAGCUGUGGCCACUGUCUUGCCACCAUGAGGUUAUGAAAAAUGAAAGUCAACAUGCUGAAAAUUAUGGAGUUAAGAGAGAAGUGUGAUGAAGUGCUGAGUUGCCAAACCAAACAUAGCACUGCUUACCUCUAGAUUCCCCUUAAGCAAUCAAUCAAUGUUCUUAAGGUCUAGGCUGCUAGUACUUGGUAUUCUGUUCAAUACAUCUGAAAAUAUCCUAAGUACUACCUUACACAAAAAUUCUCUUUAAUCACUCUCCCUAAAGUGUUUAGAAACACUGCUACAAUGUCCUAUACUUAAGAUUUUAUCAUUUACCACGUGUCUGGCUUAUCAUAUAUUUCAUGCAUUACUCACUUAAUCCUCACAACAACCUUGUAAGGUAGGUAAUUGUUCCUUUUUUACACACAGGUCUGAGGCUCAGAGCAGUUAAGUGACUUGUCCAAAACUGACAAGCUAGUUCAUGGUAGAACUGGGGUUAGAACAUGGAUAUCUCCAACCCCAAAGUUUGUACUUUUAGCCUUUAAACUCUAUAUACCAUGUGAAGGCAGAGUCUCCCACUAGUUUUAUAUUAACUGGUGACUGUAUCUGAAGUUUUUGAGUCUACAGUUGUUUCAAUUUCAUUUUUUUCUGGUUGUGUAGACAUAUGUUGAAAAGAUGAAGCCUAGGUAGUUCUCCAUCAUCUGCAGAUCCUUCCAGAACUGUGGGAAAGGAGGGUUCAGUGAAUUUUUGCUGUGUUCUUUUAACCUAACAGUGUUAUUAUAUAUUUUGUUGACAACUCUAAAGUCAGCUUGUCUUAAAACUAAAAAGGACAAAGGAUCGGUGUUUAUGAUUUUACUUAACAGGAAACACGCUCUAAAAGGAAGGGACUUGCUCGCGGUUCCACUGCUGCUAAAUGCCAGUGUCAGGGUGCAAUCCCAGGGCUUUGGGCUCUAUAUACUACGUGCCUUUCAUAACACUGCUGAGUGAAAAUAAGCACGUCUUCAUUGCAUUUAAAAAAUACUGUGCUUUUUUUCUUGCAUAUAAAAUUAGUAUAUUCUCAUGUAGAUAAUCUAGAAAGCAUAGAAAAGUAUACAGAAGAAAAUAGAAAUCACCUAUAAUCCUAUCGCCCAGAGAUGAUCACUGUUAACAUUUUGGUUUACUUCCUUCUCAAUUUUUCCUAUGCAAAAAUAUUUUUUUAAAUUUUGGAUUGUAUGUCAUUAUCUUCCGUCUUAUCCAAUCAUUUCCCCAUGGCAUUAAAUUGUCUUUAAAAAUGUUUGCAAUGGCUGCAGAACCAUCAUAUGGAUAGCUCAUCAUUCAUUUCAACCCUGUAAUGUUGAAAAUCUAGUUUUCUUCUUUCAGUCGUAUAUGAUGCUGUCAUGAACAUCCCUUUCAUUAAUCUUUGUCUACUUCUAAUUAUUUUCUUAGAAGUAGAGUAUGAUUCUUAGAAGUAGAAUUAAAGUUGAUACUAAAGAACUACUUUUUAGAAAAGCAGCAGUCAGCCCUACUACCCACAAUAUUUGUUAUUUAUGAGGUUUCUUUCUCCUCAUUAUGUUUCCUCUGGUGUUGAAUAAGCUGUGAACUAUACCGAUAGGCUUUCCCACACUCACUACAUUUAUAGGGUUUCUCCUUAGUGUGGGUUCUCAAGUGUAGAAUAACUUGAGAAGUCUGCCUGAAGGUUUUCCCACAUUCAUUACAUUUAUAGGGUUUCUCUCCAGUGUGAACUCUCUGAUGAUCAACAAGGUUUCGAUUAGAAGUAAAAGCCUUCCCACACUCAUUACAUUUGUAAGGUUUCUCUCUACGAUGAAGUCUCUGGUGUUCAUUAAGAGUUUUCCUUAAGAUGAAAGUUUUUCCACACUCAUCACAUUCAUAAGGCUUCUCUCCAGUGUGAAUUCUCUGAUGGUCCAUAAUCUUUGUAUUAGAACCACAUGUUUUCCCACACUCCUUACAUUUGUAAACUUUUUUUCCUCUGUGCAUUCGCUGAUGUUGAGUAAGGUUUGAACUACGGCUAAAGGCUUUCCCACACUCAAUACAAGAAUAGGGCUUCUCUCCGGUGUGAACUCUGUGAUGUGAUAUAAGGCCCGAACUCCGACUAAAGGCUUUCCCACACUCUUUACAUUCAUAAGUUUUCUCCCCACUGUGGAUUCCCUGGUGCCGAAUAAGAUGUGACUUUCCACUGAAAGAUUUCCCACAUUCACUGCAUGUAUAGGGCUUCAGUCCAGUGUGGAUUCUCCGAUGAACAACAAGGUUAGAGCUAUGACUGAAAGCUUUUCCACACUCCUUACACUUAUAGGGUUUCUCUCCCGUGUGGAUUCGCUCAUGUACUGUGAGGUUUGCACUCUGACUAAAGGCUUUCCCACACUCAGUACAUACAUACUGUCUCUUUUCAGCCUGAACUCUCUCAUUUGUUGCAGGGUCACAGCACUGACUAUUGUCUUUUUCAGAUUCUUGGUCACUCCCUUCUGUGAGUACUUUAUUGUCUUUAACUGUCUUAUGUUUGAAAUUUCUUGUCUUUCUCCUCAUUUUCUCCUGCUUGGAACAUACCAGUGUCCUCUCUAGUCUUCUCUUUCCCUUCAGAGGAGCCUUCUAAAUUUUGACUUCCUGGGCAAUGUCUCUGUGGAAUUCUCUUGAAAGUAUGUAUGAUUCUGAUUUUUCAGGAAUGAUGCUUUGGAAUUAACUCCUCCUCAGUCCCAGUUUCACCAUCUGACAGGAGAAACAGAAAUUGCACAUGUCACCUAUUCUCUGUACCAGAGGAAGGAGAUCUAUCCACGGACAAGAUGUGGUAGCCAUAUGGAAGGGUUAAGUGUUCAAGGGCAGGGGAACAGAUCAAAAAGAUGACAAAAAUGAAGUUAAACAUAGAGGCCAAUGUAAAGGCUUAUGGAAAGCCAGGGGCUAAGGGGAGCCCAGCAGGUCCAGCAUCAGAAUAAGCAAUGAAUCGUAUAAAAUCUACCCUAGUUCCUUCCUGCCUCAUCCUCUACUCCCUGAAUUGGAGCCAUCUAACUCGUUGCUUUUUUUUUUUUUUUUUUUGAGAUGGAGUGCAAUGGCACGAUCUUGACUCACUGCAACCUCCGCUUCCCAGGUUCAAGCGAUUCUCCUGCCUCAGCCUCCCUAGUAACUGGGAUUACAGGCGCCUGCCACCACGCCCAGCUAAUUUUUUGUAUUUUUAGCAGAGAUGGGGUUUCACUAUGUUGGCCAGGCUGGUCUUGAACUCCUGACCUCAGGUGAUCCACCUGCCUCAGCCUCCCAAAGUGCUGGGAUUAUAGGCAUGAGCCACCGCACCCAGCUCAGAGCCAUCUAACUCCUAAUGGCAGGCUCAACUAUAAUCUGGUCCUAGAAAAAGUGAACUGAAAGAUGACUAAACUUUAGUUCAGUUUGGCUUUUAGUUCUUGCUAACCUAUUCCCCUAGUACUAGUGAUACUGUGGCCAGUAUGUAAAAGGUGCUCAAAAUGGUAUUAUAGAAUAGCAACUAGGAUUCUGUCUUAGGUUGUGAGUAGGAUUUCAUCUUUUGCUCAAGGUCCAGGUACUAGACCCCAGUCUACAUCCUUGCAGGUAAACCCUAUCUUGUUAAGUGGUGACACAGUUCUUUCAAUAUUGAGCCUAGUCACAUCAUAGCCUACUUCAUAGGGGCUGGCCUAUAGUUGGACCCAGUUUUUUUUUUUUUUCUGAGACGGAGUCUCACUCUGUCGCCCAGGCUGGAGUGCAGUGGCACGAUCUCGGCUCACUGCAAGCUCCGCCUCCCAGGUUCACGCCGUUCUCCUGCUUCAGCCUCCCGAGUGGCUGGGGCUACAGGCGCCCGCCACCACGCCUGGCUAAUUUUUUGUAUUUUUAGUAGAGACGAGGUUUCACUGUGUUAGCCAGGAUGGUCUCGAUCUCCUGACCUCGUGAUCCACCUGCCUCGGCCUCCCAAAGUGCUAGGAUUACAGGCGUUAGCCACCGCGCCCAGCCAGUUGGAUCCAGUUUUAUAUGCAAGUGUAGUCUGUCUGCUUUUCACCAUGCUGUCACUCUGACAGACUGAGACUACUUAAGGGGUGAGUCUGAGAGGCUAAAUUGGGAAAGAAGGUUAGUUAAAGCAUGGCAGAUGAAACUCUGAUAGGAUCUUGCAUGGCAUAAUAGUAAAGUAUCUAAGGAUGGCAAAAGCGUCAGAGUAGGGGCAGCAUAACCAAGAGGUGCCAAUACAUGAAACCAAACAUCAGAAUAAGGAGGAAUUUCCCAACUGGUUUGACGUGAAACUCUGGACAUACAGGUAACCAUGGCAGACCUUAGAGGGAGUUGGGAUGUAAAAGAAAGCAAAAAGAUAACUACAUGAUACUAACACAUGACUAUGCUCCUUUAUAGACUUGCCCAUAUGUAUUUUGUUAGACAAUUAAAUAUGGUAGAUAUUAUUUUGCAUCCUACUUCUUGCAGUUCAUUUCAUUUAUUUUUUAGUUGAUAAAAAAGUAUAUAUAUUUAUGGCAUACAACAUGUUUUUAUAAAUGUUUACACAUGGAACAGGUAAAUCAAGCUAAUUAACAUAUCCAUUACUUCACAUACUUAUUAUUUUUUCAUGGUAAGAACAUUUAAAAUCUCUCUUAGCACUUUUCAAGUCUAAAUAUGUUGAUAUUAACUAUAAUUACCAUGUAAUACAAUAGAUUUCCUGAAAUUAUUCCUCCUAACAGAAUUUUUGUAUCCUUUGACCAACAUCUCCCUAAUCCCUGCCUCACAAAUUUUUUUUUGUUUUUUGAGACGGAGGCUCGCUCUGUUGCCCAGGCUAGAGUGCAGUGGUUCAAUCUCCACUCACUACAACCUCCGCCUCCUGGAUUCAAGCAAUUCUCCCUGCCUCACCCUCCUGAGUAGCUGGGAUUACAGGCGUCUGCCACCACGCCUGGCUAGUUUUUGUAUUUUUUAAGUAGAAAUGGUAUUUCGCCAUGUUGGCCAGGCUGGCCUUGAACUCCUGACCUCAGGUGAUCCACCUGCCUCGGCCUCCCAAAGUGCUGGGAUUACAGGCGUGAACCACUGCGCCCAGCCUCCACUUAAUUUUUUAAUGCACAUUUUUCCACAUUGCUAUUUAAUCUUCAUAUGAUCAUUGAAUUCCUUCUAAUUUACCUACCAUUUUGCUAGUGUUGGACAUUUCUGUUGUUCCUUGAAGUUAACUACUAUCAAUAAUGCUAUCAUAAUCUCUUUAUACACACAAAAUUUUCUUCCUAUUAAAAUAUAUUCCUAGGACAAAAGUUCCACAAAUGAGUUAAUUGGGUCAGAAGGAGUGCAACUGUUGUGCAGUAUUGCUUGUUGCUAUUCAAAAAAGUUUGAUGGGCUGAGCAUGGUGGCACAUGUCUAUAAUCUCAGCACUUUGCAAGGCUGAGGCGGGAGGAUCACUUGGGCCCAAAAGUUUGAGACCAGCCAGGGUAAGACAGGGAGACUACAUCUCUACAAAGAAUUUAAAAAUUAGCUAGGCAUGGUGGUGUGCACCUGUAGUCCCAAUUACUCAGGAGGCUGAGGUGAGAGGAUUGCUUGAGCCCAGGAGGUCCAGGCUGCAGUGAGCCCUGAUUAUGCCACUGCACUUCAGCCUGGGCAACAGAGCAAGACUUUGUCUCAAAAAAAAAAGUUUGACCAAUUUCCAUGUCCCACAGCUUUCUGAUAAAUGGAGCCACACUUUCUGGAGAAGGAAGAUAGCAAAUGGUGGCACUCGAGACUGGCAAAAAGAUAACUGCACAUAUUCGAGUUCACAUCUCAGAAAUGCGGGUGGCCACUGAUUCCAUACACAGGCACAUACACACAAACUCAUGCCCAAGAUAAGAAGGGUAGGAAGAGAGAAUGGUGAGGGAGGGUGGAUUCUUGCCAGGGUCCUGGGCUCACUCACAUCCAGCUGCUGCUACCUCUCCUAAUCAUUAAGGAUGAAGCAGGUGGAGAAAACAGUGCAAAGCCAGGGGACUGCAAUGCAGAGCAGUAGAGCAAGUGAACUCACCUUCAAAGUUCUGUGAGAAAGUUGAUAGUUUUUUCUGAAUUUCUUUUCAAUUUCUCAUCUUCUCUGGAACUUCUCUUUUCUUCAUACAUUUCUUAAACUCAUAACUAAUGAGCACCCUACUCUGUAUAUAUCCCUGUUCUGGGUCUAACACAGGGAAAAUUUAAAGAAGCAUUGUCAUGGACUGAAUGUUUGUGUCCCCCUAACAUUUGUAUGUUAAAGCUCUAACCCCCAAUGUGACUGUAUUUGGAGAUGGGGCCUCUAAGGAGAUAAUUAAGGUUAAAUGAGGUCAUAAGGGUGGGCCCUGAUCCAACAGAAUUCAUGUCCUUAUAAAAAGAAACACAAGAAAGUUCUCUUACAUGCUCUCCCUCUCUCCACACACAUACACAUAAAGGCUAUGAGAAUACAUAGUAAGAAGAUGGCCAGCUACAAGACAGGAUGAGAGCCCCCUACCAGAAACCAAAAUGGCGAGGCACAUGGAUCUCACACUUCUAGGCUGCAGAACUGUGAGAAAAUAAGUUUCUGUUGUUUAAGCCACUCAGUUUAUGGCAUUUUGUUAUGGUAACCCAAGCACACUAAUACAAGCAUGAAAUAUCAUACUUCCCUUAAAGAGCUUACAAUGGAGUAGUAUGGAAAAACAAUAAGAGAGCAAAUUCAAAUUUACAAUGUAUGCAAGCAGGAGAUGAAGAGGACUAGGGGAGGGAGGGAGCAAUUACUAAGGCAUGGAAUGAUGGAGAAAAGCAUUUUAAAAAGGCAGAAUUUAGGCUGAGCCCUGGAGAAUAAGCAGUGUUUUCUCAAAAAAAAAAAAAAAAAAAAAAAGGCACAGGGUUGGUAUACAUGAAAAUAAAUGGGAGAUCAUAAUAUUAUAUAAACUUCAUGUAGGCAGGGAUUUUGUCCGUCCUGCUUACCCUGUAUUCCUAGCACUACCACAGUCCCAGGCACAUGGUAAGCGCUCAACAUUUUUUGUUGUUGGAAUUAACAAAUGAAGAAAGAAUCAAGCUGCCUGAAGUGAUUCCAACCAGAAUACUGAAAUUACAAGAUGAAAAAUAUGGAUAUAAACUGAUGGUCAAAGGGAAACCAGUUCUAAACAGAAGAGUGAAAUCUAUCCUUAAUUUUCUUUCUCCAUUCUAUAUUCUUUUUUGUACCUUGCUAUUCUCCACUCUUGUUAUUUUCCUUCUUUUUCUCACUUAACAAUACAGUUUUUCAAGCAUUACCAUGCACUUCCCCUAGUUCCCAUAGUUCCUCCACUACCACCUCCCAGAACAUUCACGUUUCUCUCAGCUUAAUGAAAUGGAAAACAGAGGAGAGAGGCAGCUGGGAUAACACAUGGGGAGUAAAUUGAGGGAAACAGAAAGUAAAGAAUCCAAGAGAUGUCAAGUAGGGCAAUCAUAUAUCCUGGUUUUCCCAGAAUAGUGCUAGUUUAAGCCUACUAUCCCAGCAUCAUAUUUAAUAAUGGCUCCCUUAACUCACAACAGUAUCCCCGUUUGGACAAUAAAUUUUGCAUUAUCCUACCCAAAAGUGAAAUUAGGAUAAGAACUCUUUAGGAAGAUUAGCCCAGAUGGAUUAGAGGGGGUUAAAAAGAAAAGAGGAAGGGAAAUGAAUUAGGAGACAACACUAGUCAUGCGGUACAGGUGAACACUGGAGGGUCUGGCACGUUGUAGGUACCCAAUAAACGUUUGUUGAAUGAAUGAACAAAUGAAUAAGAUAGCAAGACCCUAAUCCAAGAUGAGAGAACAGAGAACAAUGAAGUCUAGCUAUUUUCAGGAACGCAUCCAGAUGUAUAACGCACACAUCCAUAUUCCUUUGAAUACAGAGGAUGGACUGAAGGAAACAAUCCAAGGUCAUCAGAUCCAUGUCUGAAUACCAAGAAUGGUAGUGUCACUAAGCAAGAUGGGGACACACAGAAACAUUUUAGACAAGGUGAAGAGGAAUAUAUCACGAAGGCAAAUUUGAGAAUGAUAAGACAGAGAGGACAGAGGGAGUCAUGAAAAUGUAUAAACUUACUGAGGGUCGGGCACGGUGGCUCACUCCUAUAAUCCCAGCACUUUGGUAGGGUGAGGUGGGAGGACUGCCUGAGCCCAGGUGUUUGAUCAGCCUGGGUAAAAAUAUUUUAAAAAGUGAGCCAGGUGUGGUGGCAUAUGCCUGUGGUCCCAGCUACUUGGGAGGCUGAGGGAGGUCGAGGCUGCAGUGAGCUAUGAUCAUGCCGCCACACUCCAGCCUGGGAGACAGUGAGAACUUGUCUCAAAAUAAAUAAAUACAUUAAAAAAAUAAAAAAACAGAUAAGCUUACUGAGAAAGGGAUUUGGGUUAGAAAAGUGAUAUCAUUUAGAUGUUCCUUCCAAAUCUCACAUUGAAAUGUAAUCUUCUAUGUUGGAGGUGGGCCUGUUGGGAGGUGACUGGAUCGUGGGGGUAGAUUUCUCAUGAAUGGCUUAUCGUCAUCCUCUUGGUUCUGUCCUUGUGAUAGUGAGUUCUCGUGAGAUCAUGUUGUUUAAAAGUGUGUGGUAUCCCUCUGCCUUGCUCUUGCUCCUACUCUCACCAUGCUCUGCCUCCUCCUACUUCACUUUCCACCAUGAGUAAAAGCUUCCUGAGGCCUCCCCAGAAACUGAACAGAUGCUGGCACCGUGCUUCCUGUACAGCCUGCAGAACAGUGAGUCAAUUUAAACUCUUUUCUUUACAAUUAACCCAGUCACAGGUAUUUCUUUCUUUCUUUCUUUCUUUUUUUCUGAGACGAAGUUUCGCUCUUGUUGCCUAGGCUAGAGUGCAAUGGCGUGAUCUCAGCUCACUACAACCUCUGCCUCCCAGGUUCAAGUGAUUCCUCUGCCUCAGCCUCCCGAGUAGCUGGGAUUACAGGCAUGUGCCACCACGCCCAGCUAAUUUUUUGUAUUUUUAGUAGAGAUGGGGUUUCUCCAUGUUGGUCAGGCUGGUCUCAAACUCCCAACCUCAGGUGAUCCGCCCACCUCAGCCUCCCAAAGUGCUGGGAUUGCAGGCGUAAGCCACCGCGCCCGGCUGGUAUUUCUUUACAGCAACACAAGAAUAGCCUAACACAAAGGGGCAGGUAGGGAGAAAGAGAAAUGCACAGCGAUGCACUGUAAGAAAGCCCAGGGUGGUGAUGGAGGAGCUGAGGAGGAAGCAGGACCAGACAGGAGAUCAAAGAGGGCCAAAUGAGGAGAGUUUGAUCAAAAAGAAACCUAUUUGCUCCCUUCUGUCUGAUUGGAUAGGAAAUGCCCUCAGAAAUCCUGGAAGAAUUCCUAGGUACUAAGGAAGUAGGGUCUUGGCUGGAGAAGUUUGGAGGGAAACAUGAGGCCACAGGCCAGUAGGACACUAGGGGUAUCUAGGCAACUGUACAGAAAAGCAAAAUCUCAGACAGCCAGUGAAUGUAUGAGGACUGAUAAGGCCCUGCAGAUCUCUAACCCACAAAUCUCUGAGACUGGUAGGUAAGUGUUCUAAUCCUAGGACCACCAUCCAUUUCAGGCUGUGAAAAAUACAUAAAGGGUAGAAUCCUAUUGAGAGAGAGAGAGAGAGGCUUUACUUGGAGGCUGUCUUCCUUUAAUUCACCAGCAUCAUCUGCCUGUUCAAGUCCCUCUAAGCAAUGGUUACAUGGUUCUUGGUUAUUGAUUAGGUGCAGUGGAGUAAGGAAUAAGAGGAAAUACCUGAAAAUAAAUUCAAGGGAUGGAUAAGUGAAAUGUAAACAUUGCAAGAAAAAAAAAGAAUUAGAAGAAAGGCCUAAGCCUCAAGGGAAAGGCUAACACCAUGUGAAAAAGCUGAUAUAUCUGACACAUAAAAAUUUCUGUAUUCCAAAAAAUGCCAUAACAAAUCUAUAAAAUAGAGUUUGCCUUAUACUGGAAUUGCUUGUGUGUAUGUCUGUGUCCAUCCUCAAAUAUAUACAUUAAGCUCUAUGCCCUCAGAGAGCAGUUCCCAUGAGAUUUGCCUGUAGAUACCACAUGGUGUCUGACACAGAGAGGGCUCAGUCAGCAUUGUUUGAUUUGAAAUGGUAAAUUAAACAAGUUUAAGAUUCUAACACCUGGAGUGCACAUAGGGAUGCUGAGAGCCAAAUCCACACAUCACUACUACCAUCCCUCCUCUACAUGUUUGUCCUUUUUGUGCUUCAUAUUAUCUGGGAAACACCAUAAUGGUGUAUUUGCAUUCUUGGCAAUUCUGUCUCAACAGAGUCAUCCCAGGGACUAAAUUCCCUAAGAGAUUGACCUGGUCCCACUAUUCAGAGACUCUCAGUAUGUCAGAGCUGGAAGGAACCUCCCAGUCUAUCCAGUCUUAUAUCCAAAUGUACAGAAGGAAAACUUGGAACUUAGAGGAAAGCUGGGACUCAAAUCCAAGUCCCAUGACACCCAAUUUUGAGUUCUACUACAUCACCCUUAUUCCCAUCUGAAACAAAACUCUACUCCUCAAGGUCCAGAGGCCCCCUGCCCACUUCAGUGCUUUUCUCCUGUUUGAUAAAUACCACUGAGAGAAGCUCCCUUUCAACCCUGGUGCCCACAAGCAGGAUUCCUGUGCCCAGACUAACUUCACAAUCUAGGCCUCACCUGCCCAGGAGAGAAUGGAAUGACUCACCCAUAUUCCUGUGCACAGCAGCCUCAAUCCAAAGGAUCUGCACAGCACAGAUCUUGCCUGAUCUCCUCCUUGAGUUCAGUGAAGAAGUUCCUAAGAGGGUCUUGAGUCACUGUAAACAGAUAUAAAUGACUGAGUUCUCUGAGCCCUGAAUUCCAAGUGGACACUCAGGGCAGUGUCCCAUCUUUGGGUAACUUCCCUUCCUAUAGAACUGUGGGCAGUAAGAAGGAUCAUUUCCAGUGUAAAGAUGAGGGAAUGAAGCUCCCAGGGAUUGAACGACUUGCCCAAGGUCCUAUAGCUAGUGAGUGAUUAAAAAGCCUUCUGUGUCUUCAGGAAAUCCUAAUUCCAUCACACCACAGCCUCCCCUUUUCACCUGCUCCAUUGAUAUCUAAAAGCUUCCAUAUUCUCAUCUAACUGCAAAAUACAAUGCAGUGGAGAACUUCCUUGCAAUCCAGCUUUCCACAGAAAGUCUGCACAAGGGGGAUGAGAGGGAGAACUUUGCUGAGUCAAGUGUCUUUAGGAAGACAGAAAGAAACAAGUCUUUAAAAGAGCACUAGAAAAAGAAUGUUCCUUUUUUCUGUUUACCCAUUUCUUAGGAUUACUAAGCCUCAAAUAUGUUUUGUGUUUCCCCCUCCAGAUCCCCAGGCUCUGCUUCUAACCCUUGAAGUUUGUUUCAUUUCUCCCCUACUAGAAUUUAGUUCUGUCCUGUACACAACCAUAACCCCAGGACCUAGCACACUACUGGGUUAGUGCUCAAUAAAUAUUUGUUGAAUGAAUCAAUGAAUGAAUGAGUAACCUUGGGCAAGACUCCGUCCUCUUCUCUGGGCCCCAGGUUCCUCACUGGUAACGGGAGGGAUAUUGGACUGGUGAUUUGAGUCAAAUACUCAGGGGCUGUGGAGUCCUGAGAGCCUAGGCGGGACUCGACCGCUACUACCCGGAAGGCCCACUGCCUAGGAGCGGGGACGACACAGUGCUGUCACCACGGCCAGCCUGGUCCAAGCGAGCAGCUACGAGGAGUCAGAGACUGGACCCAAGACAAAGGGGCAGCACUGAACGAGAGAAAGGGGAGGCCCACAACGACCCCUUGGCUGCCGCGCCCAUCUCAGCAGCGGGCAGCCGCAGAGGAGCCCUGGCCUCCUGGCUUGCGUCUCCCACACGCUCCCAGAACCCGGCCCGACCCCCCACGCCAGACUGUAGAGCACCCCUCACCGAAAGCGCCAGACCCACAUCUUGAACAAAGCGCAGAAGGAACUGCGUCAGCAACUCCCAGCUAACUCCCAGCCUGUCCCUCCGGCCCUUCUAGGCUUCGUGAGGUUUCCACAUCUCUGUGCCCGCGGGCUGGAGUCCCCCCGCCCCUCAGAAGCCCCGCGCGGUCGGCCGACGCUCUGGCCCUGCCUCCCUUCCGGGCUUUGCCCUAUCAUUGGAUGGAAGGGCUUGGCGACUUCAGCCAAUGUGAGGAGGGCCCUGGAAGUGGUGGAAGCUGGGCAGGGGGCUUGGUUAGGGCGGAAAGAGACCGAGCAUCUGGGUGGCCAGGCUGCCAGCCUCAGGCUGAGACUCCCUAAAGUUACACCCCCAGCUCCGGUUGCUGAGCAGAGAGGUCAUCUUUCCUUCCACAGAUCUGGGUCAUUCAGCCUCAAAGCCAGGAUCAGCUAUGGUUUAUUGGCAGCAUAUGAAAAGACGUUUUGGGUGCCUACUAUGUCACUCACUGUUCCAGGCGCUGCGGAUACAGUAGUGAAGAAAAUGAACUCUCUGCCCCAUUGAGUUUACAUUCAAGUCAAGGAGACAAUGAUAAAUAAAUAUGUAGAACGUAGCAGUAAGGGGAGAGAGGGAGUAAGGGGAGAGAGGGAGAUAGUGGUGGGACUAUUUUACAGAUGACAGGGAGGGCAGAGACAGGAAGUGGGCAAUUGAAGCAUGUGGCUAUCUGGGGAAAGAGUAUUCCCAUAGUGGGCCAUUAGGAGCAAAAUUCUUUAAUCAGGAGUGGGGUGGAGAGGUGCACAUUUAGGAUCUUGUAGACUAUGAUAAGGGCUUUGGAUUUGCUCUGCAUAACAGCUGGAGGGCUUGGGGACAGAGGAACGACAUGAUCUAACUUUUUUUCCCUUACCACAUAUUCAAAGACUUGUUAGCUAUGAGACAUGAAAGAAGCCAAGAAGCCUGUUACUAUAAAUUCUGUGAAUUCUUUGCUGUCUGUCCUUAGCCAUUCUAACAUAAACCUUGCAUGAAUUUUGCUCUUUGACUUAUAUUUUUAGUUUGCUUUGGCUGUCUUGUUGAGAACGGUCUGAAGGUGGGUAAGAGUAGAAUCAGGGAGAUUAAGAGGCCAUUACAAUAUUCCAGAUGAGGACUGAUAGUGGCUUGGACAGGCUUAGAAGUGAUGCAGGUAGUGAGAAAUGGUUCUGCAUAUAUUUUGAAGGCAUGGCCUGCAUGAUUUGCUAAUGAAUUGAAUGUUGGUUACUGAUGACUCCAUGGUUAUUGAUCUGAGCAACUAGCAUGGGAUGGUCUUUUAGAAAUCGAGUAGCUUGAAAGGAACAGGUUUAGGGAGAGGGAUUAAUAGUUUUGUUUUGGAUGUGUUAAAGAUGCCAAUUAAACAUCCAAGAUGAAAUGCCAAACAGGCAGUUGGAAUAGGAGUCUGGACUUCCGUGAAGAGAUCACAGCUAAAGACAUAAAUUUGGAAGUUGUCAGGACAGGAUGAGACAAUCUAGGGAAUGAUUUAUCUAAGAAGGAGUCUGAGAAUCAAGCUUUUGAAGUACUUCGUCAAUUGACAAAUAUUCAGUAUUUAAUAUUGUUGAGUACUUAAAGUAUACCAGGAGCUUUCUUCUCCAUUGGCUCAUGUAGGUGGCACAACUCCGCCACAUUGUAUAGAGAUUGAAAAAGAGAUUCAGACAA
rnacentral:lncRNA from 1 species